rnacentral:rRNA from 1 species
AGAGUUUGAUCCUGGCUCAGGAUGAACGCUAGCGGCAGGCUUAACACAUGCAAGUCGAGGGGCAGCAAGGGUAGCAAUACCUGUUGGCGACCGGCAAACGGGUGCGGAACACGUACGCAACCUACCCCAAACAGGUGAAUAGCCUUCUGAAAAGGAGAUUAAUACACCGUAAGAUAUAUGACUGGCAUCAGUUGUAUAUAAUAGCUAAGGCGGUUUGGGAUGGGCGUGCGCCUGAUUAGGUAGUUGGUAGGGUAACGGCCUACCAAGCCAACGAUCAGUAACUGGUGUGAGAGCACGACCAGUCACACGGGCACUGAGACACGGGCCCGACUCCUACGGGAGGCAGCAGUGAGGAAUAUUGGUCAAUGGACGCAAGUCUGAACCAGCCAUGCCGCGUGAAGGAUGAAGGCGUUCUGCGUUGUAAACUUCUUUUAUCUGGGAAGAAACCUACUUUUUCUAAAGUAGCCGACGGUACCAGAGGAAUAAGCACCGGCUAACUCCGUG